rnacentral:lncRNA from 10 species
UAAACAUACACUUAAGGAAGUCUAGGGAAAGCCUGAAAGACAAUUUUUUAAAGGACUGGAACUUUAUAAGGAAAUAGGUAAUGAAGGCAAAUAUAAUUAUAGUGGAUACAUAAGAAAUAAUGGUAUUCAAUUGUAAAUUCUUGAUAUGAUCACUGAUACUGGAGUUAGAGAAACUGGGUUUAGGAUCAAUGUUAGACUUGCAACUCCUACUAAAGAUCUCUGCAACCUCCUCUGCUGGAGUUCCAGUGUUUCUGUCUCUCAGAGUGAAGGGCCAUGGAACCUCAGAAGGACUUCUGAGCUCUGAGAUAACAUACUUGCAGGGUAAAGAUGGAAGCAGCACAGUAACCAGAAACAACACCGGUAGUAAAGCCAUUGCUGGAAACUAAGUCAAGAAAAACAAAGCGUUAAGACCAUAUUGUCCUUCUGAGGUCAGAUUGUAUUUCAACGCCCUGAUAUUUCCUUCAAACACUAACAAAAAAGUGGACUUCUUGAAGUUCAGUAACUACUAGUUGGCUAACUUGCUUGGAAAAUUGCAACCUUUUUUCAAGACUCCCAACCCCUUAUCUAGGACUUCAACCCAUUCUUUAAAAGAUCAUUUCCAUAAGCAGUGUCCCACAUGUUGUUUUCAAAGCGAAAAGGAGUGAAUUCGCUUAUGACCUAGAGGAAGAGAGAUGGGUCAAAAGAUGUCAAGCCAAGGAUUAAUAUCCGUCAUACCUUGGUUCUCUGUAAGCCAUGCAAUAAGAGGCUUGAGAUUUCACCAACUCUGGAGACUCACUUGGGCACAACUGAAACUAUAACAAACUUGGUGCUCAGUGCCAUUUUCCUUUGGCAGUGUUACAAGGUAAUUUCAAGGGAUCAGCACACAGACAUUGUUUUAGUUUUCUUUUGCUGCUUAUUUCAGUUCAUGCAGCACUGACUAAAAAUUUUGGAAUUUAGACUGCUUAACGCUUAUAUCUACAUCCAAUAUCAAAAUUCAUUACUGACAGUUUGCCUUUCUAAAUAUUUAUGAAAUCUAGUCCUCAAUCUGUCCCUCACUUCUAUAUUCAUGUUUUCACCAUAUCUUGCUUAAGUUAUUAAUUGGACAUUUCAAAUACCUAUAUGCACAAAAUCUCUGCCUACCUAUUUGUUCUUUCUUUCUAGUGCCGAACAAUUCAUUCUCAGCACUAUAAUAGUCUAUCAUUUACUGUGAAUAUCUUAUUUUUCAUUUUUGGAGAAGAGUCAUUCCUGUAAUUAUUACUUGUUCCCAUAUUCACAUUGAUGAUAUCAGAAUGAGAGCAACUUGAGCGCUGUGGUGCCAGAUAUUGUUGGUGAACCUGAAUUUCAGAAAUUGGCUAUGUCUGUCUUGAUUAUUGCUGUAUCUCCAAAACUAACACAAUACCAAAUAUAGGUGGUAGUUUGUAAAUAUUUGUUAAGUGAGUAAAUAUUGACCCGACAUAGAUUCUUAGAAAAUACAGAAAAAAGGACA